CACGCGGGCGGUUCAUCAAGCGUUUUGUGAAAUCCCUCGGCUCAACCGAGGAAUUGCUUGGCGAACUGAUGGACUUGAGGCAGGCAGGGGCGAGUGGAACUCUUGGUGGAGCGGUGGAAUGCGUAGAUAUCAAGAGGAACGUCGGUGGCGAAGGCGACUCGCUGGGCCUGUCCUGACGCUGAGGUGCGAAAGCCAGGGGAGCGAACAGGAUUAGAUACCCUGGUAGUCC
rnacentral:rRNA from 1 species